rnacentral:rRNA from 1 species
UGAGGAAUAUUGGGCAAUGGACGAAAGUCUGACCCAGCCAUGCCGCGUGCAGGAUGACGGCCCUACGGGUUGUAAACUGCUUUUGUACAGGAAGAACUAUCCCGAUGUAUCGGGAUUUGACUGUACUGUACGAAUAAGCAUCGGCUAACUCCGUGCCAGCAGCCGCGGUAAUACGGAGGAUGCAAGCGUUAUCCGGAUUUAUUGGGUUUAAAGGGUGCGUAGGCGGGGUAGUAAGUCAGUGGUGAAAUCUUCCGGCUUAACCGGGAAACUGCCAUUGAUACUGCUUUCCUUGAGUGCAGCUGAGGUGGGCGGAAUGUGUAAUGUAGCGGUGAAAUGCUUAGAUAUUACACAGAACACCGAUUGCGUAGGCAGCUCACUAAACUGUAACUGACGCUGAGGCACGAAAGCGUGGGGAGCGAACA